rnacentral:rRNA from 1 species
UACGGAGGGUGCGAGCGUUGUUCGGAUUUACUGGGCGUAAAGGGCGCGUAGGCGGCAAAUUAAGUCAGCUGUGAAAUCUCCGAGCUUAACUCGGAACGGUCAGCUGAUACUGAUCUGCUAGAGUGCGGAAGGGGCAAUCGGAAUUCUUGGUGUAGCGGUGAAAUGCGUAGAUAUCAAGAGGAACACCUGAGGUGAAGACGGGUUGCUGGGCCGACACUGACGCUGAGUGCGCGAAAGCCAGGGGAGCAAACGGGG